GCUCUCCUCUCCUGCUAAGCUUUGUUUCCUGGCAGUAAUUAAAACCUUCUGCCACUGCCAUAGCUACUGCUGCUCCUGGAACCACCAUACCCACCUUGGUUUCAUGGUUUGCCAAAACAUUGGCCUCUACCACCAUAGAGGACGGUUUCUGCCUCUGAAAUUUUCUUCUUUCAUGGGCCCAAUAUUUGAAGAUUGAUUGUUGUAAUUGCCAAAAUAAUUAUAGCUUCCACCACCUCCAAAGUUGCUUCCAUCAUUACCAUAUCUAUUAUAGCCAUCCCCACUGCCACCAUAUCCACCACCACACUGACUGCCACCAAAGCCACCUUGCCCUCUAAAGUUUCCUCUACGACCAAAGUUGUCAUUUGCACCAAAACCACCUCCACGACCACCACCAAAGUUUCCAGAACCACUUCAACAUCUUUGCUUGAAGCACUAGCCAUCUGUUGCUUAGAUAGAGCUCUGCUUACUUCACAGUAUGACAAUCUUGUCCAAAGUCAUGUUCAUCAAGUGUUAUAAAAGCAAGCCCUCUCUUUUUGCCACUGCCUCAGUCUGUCAUGAUUUCAAUCACUUCAAUUUUCCCAUAAUGUUCAAAAUAUUCUCUUAGAUGAUGUUCUUCAGUACCUUCUUUAAUGCCACCAACAAAACUCUUUUUCACAGUUAAGUGGGCACCAUGUCUUUGAGAAUCUUCUCUUGAAACAGCCCUCUUUGGUGCCACAAUUCUUCCAUCCACCUUGUGUGGCCUUGCAUUCAUGGCUGCAUCCAUCUCUUCCACAGUGGCAUUCGUGACAAACCUAAAACCUCUGGAGAGCUUGGUGUUUGGAUCUCAUUACCACACAGUCUGUGAGUGUUGCCCAUUUCUCAAAAUGGCUCCUCAGACCCUCAUUGGUUGUUUCAAGGCUCAAACCUCCAAUGAAAAUCUUCCACAGUUGUUCAGGCUCUUUGGGAGACUCUGACUUAGACAUGAGCGGGUGGGAGGGGAGGCUUUAACAAUGCUUACUUGGCGGUAUCCAUGGGCAGAAAG
rnacentral:lncRNA from 1 species